GAUUUGAGUCAGAGGACCUAGGUUUGAAAACUGGCUCUUGGGUCUCUCUUUUAGUAUGUGCCCUACCUGAUUGAAAGCUUUCUUAUUCUGUGGGAUGAUGAUAGGAGUCUCCUGGGCAUCACCAAACCUUCCAGGCUUUACAUGAGCAAUUUUUGGUUGACCUACAGUGUUCUGAAAGGUGAUAAUAACUGGCAAAUACUGACCAGAACUAGAAGCCACUUGUCAGCUUUUCCAAACUGAGGAAUUUUCAGAUGAGGAAACCGAGACCCAGAAGCCAAGUACUUUGUCUGAUUGUUUAUGGAAGAACUCAGAUGAAGAGACCCUCCAGGGUCAAGUGGAAUGCCAACUUCUUGAGAGAAGGAACAGUUUUGCUAUCAUCUUUGUGCCACCAGAACCUAGGAUAACAUCCAGGAGUCGGCCAGAAAUACAAGUAUAUUAAAUUAAAGGGAAUAUUUUCUUUCCAAGAAUUUGG
rnacentral:lncRNA from 1 species